UUGAGCACGACAUCCAACAGAGAAUAUAUGGGUAGGUGAUCAAUGUUUCCGAGGAACAUGAUCUUGGAAAUUGCACCAUAUACUUUCAAUCUGAACUCUGAAGAACGAUGUUAUCCACUCGUCCAUGGGGCUGGUAAUCUCGCAGCAUUGUGUACAUGGUGCUUGCGCAUAAAUAGUUCCUUAUCAGCAAAUUCGCAGUUAAAUGCUCUCACCUUGCUCUACUCGACCUAUUUGUUGUAUGUAACUCUAGAGCCGAACGAAAGUCAUCCCGGUUACAGUCGUUUCCUGCUGGAUCAGGGAUUAUAUUGGUGAUUACCACUAAAGCAAAGCGUUAUCACUCUGAAAGCUGCUGCUGCUGUAAUACCGCGACCAGUUCCUUGAUCCUUCAAAGAAAGCUUCAAGAGGUGUUUCGCAUAUCGAUUGAGAUCACAUGAAGAGACUCGUGCGAACAUCUAAUUCCAUGCCAAUCACAGCAGUUUCGAUGUUGCACGCUUUCUUGCCAAGAAGACAACCGAUUGGAUGGGUCAUCUAAAGAUGACUUAAAAUUUAGCAGAGCCUUUUUUCCUCUUCAUGGCAUGCAUGAGAGAAUAAUGGGCACAGAGAGAUGUUGAUCAAUAGAUACAGCAAGAAAUGAAGAUGAAUCAGAGUUGCUGUUAAUUGAGUUGUCUUGUUGAAUGAAUUCAUGGCCAACUAAAAAAUAAAUCAACUCUAUCUUGAUUAUAUGAAGCUAAUGAAUAAAUAUGCAGAAUGGGUCGGGU